rnacentral:rRNA from 1 species
CCUACGGGCGGCAGCAGUGGGGGAUAGUGCACAAUGGGGGGAACCCUGAUGCAGCGACGCCGCGUGUGGGAAGACGGUCCGCUGGAUUGUAAACCACGGUCGCCAGGGACGAAAAUGACGGAACCGGGGGAGGAAGCGCAGGCUAACUACGUGCCAGCAGCAGCGGUAAGACGUAGGGAGCGAGCGUUGUCCGGAAUGACUGGGUGGAAAGGGAGCGGAGGCGGGGUUGCAAGUUGGGGGGCAAAACUACCGGCUCAACUGGUAGUCGCCCUCCAAACUGCAGCUCUUGAGUGCAGUAGAGGCAGGCGGACUUCCUUGUGUAGCGGUGAAAUGCGUAGAUAUUAG